rnacentral:rRNA from 1 species
CCUACGGGUGGCAGCAGUGGGGAAUAUUGGACAAUGGGCGAAAGCCCGAUCCAGCCAUGCCGCGUGUGUGAAGAAGGCCUUCGGGUUGUAAAGCACUUUCAGUGGGGAAGAAAGCCUUGGGGCUAAUACCCUCGAGGAAGGACAUCACCCACAGAAGAAGCACCGGCUAACUCCGUGCCAGCAGCCGCGGUAAUACGGAGGGUGCGAGCGUUAAUCGGAAUUACUGGGCGUAAAGCGCGCGUAGGCGGUCUGAUAAGCCGGUUGUGAAAGCCCCGGGCUCAACCUGGGAACGGCAUCCGGAACUGUCAGGCUAGAGUGCAGGAGAGGAAGGUAGAAUUCCCGGUGUAGCGGUGAAAUGCGUAGAGAUCGGGAGGAAUACCAGUGGCGAAGGCGGCCUUCUGGACUGACACUGACGCUGAGGUGCGAAAGCGUGGGUAGCAAACAGGAUUAGAUACCCUGGUAGUC